UACUGAAAAGUGAACUGUCCGGCUGGAGGGAGGCGCCCAGAGAGGGAUGGAGUUCCUCAGGGAUCUGUUUGGGGACCAAUCUUAUUUCAUCUUUUUAUUACUGACUUCAGCACAAAAAGUUGGAGUGUGCUAAUACAGUUUGCGGAUGAUACAAAGCUGGGAGAUAUUGCCAAUUUAGAGAAGGACCGGGAUAUCAUUCAGGAGGAUCUGGAUGACCUUGUAAACUGAAGUAAUAGUAAUAGGCUGAAAUUUAAUAGUGAGA